rnacentral:tRNA from 2 species
GGGGCCAUAGCUCAGCUGGGAGAGCGCUUCGCUGGCAGCGAAGAGGUCAGGAGUUCGAUCCUCCUUGGCUCCA